CACAUCAUAUGGAUUGCCAUCAACCCUUUUCCUUUUAAUUAAUUGUUUCAGUUGCAUUUUGUCAAGAAAUUCGAAAAUUUUGUGAAAAGUAUGAAAAUGCCAACGAAAAUGCCCGACGCCGUGAUUGAUAUCAACUAAUUGCGAUUGAAGGUGUGGUGUGGUGGUGGUGGAAGUCGCUGACAAGCAGCUGCCGUUUGCCGCUUGCCGCUCGCUGGUUUAUCGUUUGGCGUAUAUCGCAAACUUUUUUGAGUGAUCCCAAUCAAAAUUAAACGUUUCAGCAUGUAACAAUUAAUAGCCGGCGUUUCUACGUUGUUUCCCUGCAAAAAGCACUCGAGUUUUCUAAAAAUAUUCCGCAAAAUUUCUGUCGAAGACUUUUUAGAGCCGUAUCGACUGAUAAUAUUACCGUUAAUACUGAAAUGUUGAUUGAUGUAAAUAUAAUAAGCUUCCUUUGUUAAGCAGCAAUUAUAUUUAGUGUUAGUCGAGAUUACUUACCACGCCAAGCAGCAAAUUGUUAAAUGGAGUCUAUAUUUUAUUAUAUUAAGUAAUUAAUCUUGAGAGCUCUUGCAUUUAUGAUAUAGAACCAUUAUUUGUUGAAUGUGUAUUAAUGAUGUCAGCAAGUCAGAAAAAUGGUCACAUUCUGCUACAUAACAACCCAUUUAAACUAAUCAAAAAGUAAUUUUGAACUUCUCAGGACGAUAAGAUAUUCGUAGCCGGGAAGACCACGGUUUCAUUCUGCCAAGAAAAGAGCUUGUGUUAUUUUUAUGCUAUAAAUUCAACAAUUGCAGAACUUAAGUUAAUUCAACUACAUUAUAAAAAUACUCGUAUUUACUUCUACUUUUCGUUUUUAUAAUAAAAUUUAGUUAUUUUUUACAGUGUUGUAUUUUAAAACAUAACCUUAAAAUCAACUACACAACGAUCAAUGAAUUAAGGAAUAUAAUACAAAUGUCUCAUUUAAAUAUAUAAGUAAAUAUGUAUAUAUAUGUAUGUAUAUAUAACGGUAACAAUAAAAAUAAUUACAUAAAAAUAUAAAAAUAUAUUUUUUUUAUCAUAUAAACACAAGCAACGACAUAGGUACGCAGUAAAUAAGCUAAAUAUAUUUUCAUUGCUAUGUAUACAUUAUGCUUAUAUAUG